rnacentral:tRNA from 1 species
GAGAGAGGCUCGCCAGCAACCAAGACUGCUAAUCUUCGCCCCCCCAGUUGAACCCUGGGGCUCACUCA